UGCAACAGCGCCAGCACCGUGAACUGGCUU
rnacentral:piRNA from 1 species